GGUAGCGUGGCCGAGCGGUCCAAGGCGCUGGUAUACGGUACCAGUCUCCUCGGAGGCGCGAGUUCGAAUCUCGUUGCUGUCA
rfam:Daphnia pulex DAPPTscaffold_148_Cont5788, whole genome shotgun sequence.